rnacentral:rRNA from 1 species
UAGGGAAUAUUGCGCAAUGGGGGAAACCCUGACGCAGCAACGCCGCGUGAGUGAGGAAGGUCUUCGGAUUGUAAAACUCUGUUCUUAGGGAAAAAUGUCUUAGUGGUUAAUACCCAUUAGGAGUGAUGGUACCUAAGUAGAAAGCACCGGCUAACUUCGUGCCAGCAGCCGCGGUAAUACGAAGGGUGCAAGCGUUGUUCGGAAUCAUUGGGCGUAAAGCGCGCGCAGGCGGAUCAGUAAGUCAGGUGUGAAAUCUCGAGGCUCAACCUCGAUACUGCGCCUGAAACUACUAGUCUAGAAUAUCGGAGGGGGCAGGGGAAUUUCACGUGUAGGGGUAAAAUCCGUAGAGAUGUGAAGGAACACCGGGGGCGAAGGCGCCUGCCUGGACGAUUAUUGACGCUGAGGCGCGAAAGCGUGGGGAGCAAACAG